rnacentral:misc_RNA from 1 species
GAUGAAGAACGCAGCGAAAUGCGAUACUUGGUGUGAAUUGCAGAAUCCCGUGAACCAUCGAGUCUUUGAACGCAAGUUGCGCCCGAAGCCAUUAGGCCGAGGGCACGCUUGCCUGGGCGUCACACGUCGUUGCCCCCCCAUCUACUCCUUCGGGAUUGCGGGGGGCGGAUGAUGGCCUCCCGUGCGCCUCGCCGCGCGGUUGGCAUAAAUGCCAAGUCCUCGGCGACGCACGCCACGACAAUCGGUGGUUGCGAAACCUCGGUUGCCCGUCGUGUGCGGUCGUCGCGCAUCGAGGGCUCGAAAAAAUUGCCGGGUUCCGGCUCGGCUUUCAACGCGACCCCAGGUCAGGCGGGGUUACCCGCUGAAUUUAAGCAUAUCAAAAGCGGAGGA